rfam:Natronomonas pharaonis DSM 2160 complete genome
UUACCGUGGCUACUGUGCCAUCUGGUGAAUAGCUCGGCUCAGGCGCCGACGAAGGACGUGUCAAGCUGCGAUAAGCCUCAGGGAGCCGCACGAAGGCAAAGAACUGAGGAUCUCCUAAUGGGAAUCCCCACCGCAAUUGCUUCGCGCAAUGGGGAACGCCCCGGAUUGAAACAUCUUAGUAGGGGCAGGAAGAGAAAGCGAAUGCGAUGUCGUUAGUAACCGCGAGUGAACGCGACACAGUCCAAACCGAAGCCUUCGGGCAAUGUGGUGUUCGGACUGACUCCCAUCAGCAGAACGUUUCCGAGAAGUCUCCUGGAACGGAGCGCGAUACAGGGUGACAGCCCCGUAUCGGAAGCAAGUAUGCUGUGCGUCAGCUCCAGAGUAGCGGGGAUUGGAAAUUCCUCGUGAAUUCGGCAGACAUCGUCUGCCAAGACUAAAUACGUCCUGAGACCGAUAGCGAACAAGUAGCGUGAGCGAACGCUGAAAAGCACCCCGAGAAGGGAGGUGCAAUAGGGCUUGAAAUCAGAUGGCGAUCGAGCGACGGGGCACAAAAGGUCACUUGGAAAACGACCGAGGCGCGAGCCUCCAGUAGGACCCAAGUGAAGCCGGUGUUCCGUCGUACGUUUUGAAAAACGAACCAGGGAGUGUAUUUGUUUGGCGAGUCUAACCCGUUCAUCGGGGAAGGCGUAGGGAAACCGACAUGGCCGCAGCAUUGCCAGGGCCGCCGUGUUCAAGCGCGGGGAGUCAAACGGAUACGACCCGAAACCGGGUGAUCUAUGCGUGGACAGGACGAAGCGUGGCGAAAGCUACGUGGAGGUCCGUUAGAGUUGGUGUCCUACAAUACCCUCUCGUGAUCUACGUAUAGGGGUGAAAGGCCCAUCGAACCCGGAAACAGCUGGUUCCGACCGAAACAUGUCGAAGCAUGACCUCUGCCGAGGUAGUCCGUGGGGUAGAGAGACUGAUUGGAGGCCCCGCCCCCGAGAGGGGUCGGACCUCCUGUCAAACUCCGAACUCACGGACGCCGUGGACGCAGGGAGUCCGCUGUGCGGGGUAAGCCUGUGCAGCAUGAGGGAGACAACCCAGAGCUGGGUUAAGGUCCCCAAGUGUGGACUAAGUGCGAUUGAAGGUAGUCCCGAGCCCUAGACAGCCGGGAGGUGAGCUUAGAAGCAGCUACCCUCUAAGAAAAGCGUAACAGCUUACCGGCCGAGGUUCGGGGCGCCCAAAAUGAUCGGGGCUCAAGUCCACCACCGAGACCUAGCGGCACGCCUUACAGCGUGGUUCCGUAGGUCGGCACUCCGGUUGGGUGGAAGCACGGACGAGAGUUCGUGUGGACCGACUGGUGAAGAUAAUCCUGGUUGCAGUAGCAGCGAUAGUCGGGUGUGAAUCCUGACGGCCUAAUGAGCAAGGGUUCCUCGGCAAUGUUUGUCAGCCGAGGGUUAGCCGGUCCUAAGACUCGUCGUAAUUCGAGCGAGUCGAAGUGGGAAACUGGUUAAUAUUCCAGUGCCACUAUGCAUUGAACGCCGACGCCUUGGGGUCGACCGAACCGGGCCUUCGCCCGGUCGAACUGUCCAAAUCCGUGGAAGCCGUAAUGGCACGAAGCGGACGAACGGCAGGAUAGCGCAAGUCGGUUCAACCUGGGGCCCGUGAAAAGGCAAGCAUAGUGUCCGUACCGAGAUCCGACACAGGUGCUCAUGCCGGCGAAAGGCAAGGCCUGUCGGGAUCAACCGACGUUAGGGAAUUCGGCAAUCUGGCCCCGUAAGUUCGCGAUAAGGGGUGCCUGCCUCGGAAAGAGGCAGGUCGCAGUGACUCGGACGCUCCGACUGUCUAGUAACAACAUAGGUGACCGCAAAUCCGCAAGGACUCGUACGGUCACUGAAUCCUGCCCAGUGCGGGUAUCUGAACACCUCGUACAAGAGGACGAAGGACCCGUCAACGGCGGGGGUAACUAUGACCCUCUUAAGGUAGCGUAGUACCUUGCCGCUUCAGUAGCGGCUUGCAUGAAUGGAUUAACGAGAGCGUCGCUGUCCCAACGUUGGGCCCGGUGAACCAUACGUUCCAGUGCGGAGUCUGGAGACACCCAGGGGGAAGCGAAGACCCUAUGGAGCUUUACUGCAGGCUGUCGCUGGGACAUGGUCGCUGAUGUGCAGGAUAGGUAGGAGACGUUACACAGGUGCGUGCGCCAGCACGUCGCCGAGUCAACACUGAAAUACUACCCGUCAGUGACUGUGACCCUCACUCCGGGAGGAGGACACCGAUAGCCGGGCAGUUUGACUGGGGCGGUACGCGCUCGAAACAAUAUCGAGCGCGCCCUAAGUCCAUCUCAGUCGGGUCGGAGACCCGACGAAGAGUGCAAGAGCAAAAGAUGGAUUGACAGUGUUCUUCCCAACGAGGAACGCUGACGCGAAAGCGUGGUCUAGCGAACCGAUGAGCCUGCCCGAUGCGGGCCAUUGAUGACAGAAAAGCUACCCUAGGGAUAACAGAGUCGUCACUCGCAAGAGCACAUAUCGACCGAGUGGCUUGCUACCUCGAUGUCGGUUCCCUCCAUCCUGCCCGUGCAGAAGCGGGCAAGGGUGAGGUUGUUCGCCUAUUAAAGGAGGUCGUGAGCUGGGUUUAGACCGUCGUGAGACAGGUCGGCUGCUAUCUACUGGGUGUGUCUGACGCUUGACAGGAACAACCGUAUAGUACGAGAGGAACUACGGUUGGGUGCCACUGGUUUACCGGUUGUCCGAGAGGGCACUGCCGGGCAGCUACGCACCACAGGGUAACGGCUGAAUGCAUCUAAGCCGGAAACCUACCUGGAAAAGAAGCGUCGCCGAGGUCUCUCGUAGAAGACGAGUUCGAUAGACUUGGGGUGUACGCGUCGAGGCAACGAGACGUUCAGCCCGCGAGUACUAACAGACCGAAGCCACCAAUC